rnacentral:rRNA from 1 species
CAGAUCAGGCCUAACACAUGCAAGUCGAGCGGAAACGAUGGUAGCUUGCUACCAGGCGUCGAGCGGCGGACGGGUGAGUAAUACUUAGGAAUCUACCUAGUAGUGGGGGAUAGCACGGGGAAACUCGUAUUAAUACCGCAUACGUCCUACGGGAGAAAGGGGGCAACUUGUUGGCUCUCUCGCCUAUUAGAUGAGCCUAAGUCGGAUUAGCUAGUUGGUGGGGUAAAGGCCUACCAAGGCGACGAUCUGUAGCUGGUCUGAGAGGAUGAUCAGCCACACCGGGACUGAAGACACGGCCCGGACUCCUACGGGAGGCAGCAGUGGGGAAUAUUGGACAAUGGGGGAAGCCCUGAUCCAGCCAUGCCGCGUGUGUGAAGAAGGCCUUUUGGUUGUAAAGCACUUUAAGCAGUGAAGAAGACCUAACGGGUUAAUACCCGUUAGCGAUGACAUUAGCUGCAGAAUAAGCACCGGCUAACUCUGUGCCAGCAGCCGCGGUAAUACAGAGGGUGCAAGCGUUAAUCGGAAUUACUGGGCGUAAAGCGAGCGUAGGUGGCUUGAUAAGUCAGAUGUGAAAUCCCCGGGCUUAACCUGGGAACUGCAUCUGAAACUGUUAGGCUAGAGUAGGUGAGAGGGAAGUAGAAUUUCAGGUGUAGCGGUGAAAUGCGUAGAGAUCUGAAGGAAUACCGAUGGCGAAGGCAGCUUCCUGGCAUCAUACUGACACUGAGGCUCGAAAGCGUGGGUAGCAAACAGGAUUAGAUACCCUGGUAGUCCACGCCGUAAACGAUGUCUACUAGUCGUUGGGUCCCUUGAGGACUUAGUGACGCAGCUAACGCAAUAAGUAGACCGCCUGGGGAGUACGGCCGCAAGGUUAAAACUCAAAUGAAUUGACGGGGGCCCGCACAAGCGGUGGAGCAUGUGGUUUAAUUCGAUGCAACGCGAAGAACCUUACCUGGUCUUGACAUACACAGAAUCUUGUAGAGAUACGAGAGUGCCUUCGGGAAUUGUGAUACAGGUGCUGCAUGGCUGUCGUCAGCUCGUGUCGUGAGAUGUUGGGUUAAGUCCCGCAACGAGCGCAACCCUUGUCCUUAGUUACCAGCGGGUUAAGCCGCGGACUCUAAGGAUACUGCCAGUGACAACUGAGAGGCAGGCG